GGAUUAGAUACCCUGGUAGUCUACGCCGUAAACGAUGUGUGCUCGGUGUGUGGCCCUAGAUGGUUGCGCGCCCAAGCUAACGCGAUAAGCACACCGCCUGGGGAGUACGGCCGCAAGGCUAAAACUCAAAGGAAUUGACGGGGGCCCGCACAAGCAGCGGAGCGUGUGGUUUAAUUCGAUCAACGCGAAGAACCUUACCUGGACUUAACAUGGAAGUGUUAGGGAUCUGAAAAGAAACCGACCUUAGGGAGCUUCCAUAGGUGCUGCAUGGUUGUCGUCAGCUCGUGUUG
rnacentral:rRNA from 1 species